AGAACGAACGCUGGCGGCAGGCCUCAAACAUGCAAGUCUAGGGGGGCGUAGCAAUACGUCACCGGCGGACGGGUGCGUAAAACGUGGGAAUGUACUUACUGGUUCGGAACAACUCAGGGAAACUUGAGCUAAUACCGAAUGUGCCCGAAAGGGGAAAGAUUUAUCGCCAGUAAAUCAGCCCGCGUCCGAUUAGCUAGUUGGCGGGGUAAAGGCCCACCAAGGCGACGAUCGGUAGCUGUUCUGAGAGGAAGAUCAGCCACACUGGGACUGAGACACGGCCCAGACUCCUACGGGAGGCAGCAGUUGGGAAUCUUGGACAAUGGGGGAAACCCUGAUCCAGCCAUGCCGCGUGAGUGAUGAAGGCCUUCGGGUUGUAAAACUCUUUCGACGGGGACGAGUAAUGACGGUACCCGUAGAAGAAGCUCCGGCUAACUUCGCGCCAGCAGCCGC
rnacentral:rRNA from 1 species